rnacentral:rRNA from 1 species
CCUACGGGUGGCAGCAGUGGGGAAUAUUGGGCAAUGGGCGCAAGCCUGACCCAGCAACGCCGCGUGAAGGAAGAAGGCUCUCGGAUUGUAAAGUUCUUUUCUUAGGGAAGUAGAAAGUGACGGUACCUUAUGAAUAAGCCUCGGCUAACUACGUGCCAGCAGCCGCGGUAAUACGGAGGAGGCAAUCGUUAUCCGGAAUGACUGGUCGUAAAGGGUGCGUAGGUGGUUUGAUAAGUUAGUAGCGUAAUUCCGAGGCUCAACCUCGUCAGUGCAACCAAAACUGGCGGACUUGAGUGCAGGAGGGGCAACUGGAAUUCCUGGUGUAGCGGUGGAAUGCGUAGAUAUUAGGAAGAACACCGAUGGCGAAGGC